rnacentral:rRNA from 1 species
CCAACAGGGAUCGCCUCAGUAACGGCGAGUGAAGCGGCAACAGCUCAAAUUUGAAAUCUGGUCCUCUCAGGGCCCGAGUUGUAAUUUGGAGAGGAUGCUCGGCUGCGGCCCUGGUCUAAGUUCCUUGGAACAGGACGUCACAGAGGGUGAGAACCCCGUACGUGGCUGGGCGCCUACGCCGUGUGAAGCUCCUUCAACGAGUCGAGUUGUUUGGGAAUGCAGCUCUAAACGGGAGGUAGAUUUCUUCUAAAGCUAAAUACCGGCGAGAGACCGAUAGCGCACAAGUAGAGUGAUCGAAAGAUGAAAAGCACUUUGGAAAGAGAGUUAAAAAGUACGUGAAAUUGUUGAAAGGGAAGCGCUU